AGCAUGUUGAGGAAAACAUCACUGAAAGGUGACAGGCAACAUAGUCCAAAUAUGUGACCAAACAAAAGUUGAUGAUUAAUGCCGAGUUCAUCAUCCAGUGGUUAAGGUAGGAAAGCCCUUUAAUGACCUGUGAAAAUAAAAAUGGCAUUUAAGGAUUGAUUUCAAUUGCUAAUAGCCUUGAAAUGUCAACAUGCUGUAGAACUUUUGAGUGCCCUGGCCAGGGUGACUCAACAACUCACUCAACACUCCCAGUGCGAACAGGAAAACAUACAAG